rnacentral:rRNA from 2 species
AGAUUUUGAUCUUGGUCUCAGACAGAAGCGCGGGCGGCGUGCUUUAACACAUGCAAGUCGAGCGGUCGGAGAGGAGCUUGCUCCCUGAAGUCAGCGGCGGACGGGUGAGUAACACGUGGGCAACCUGCCUGUAAGACUGGGGAUAACUCCGGGAAACCGGGGCUAAUACCGGAUAACACUUUCCAUCACAUGAGGGAAUGCUGAAAGAUGGUUUACGCUAUCACUAACAGAUGGGCCCGCGGCGCAUUAGCUAGUUGGUGAGGUAACGGCUCACCAAGGCCACGAUGCGUAGCCGACCUGAGAGGGUGAUCGGCCACACUGGGACUGAGACACGGCCCAGACUCCUACGGGAGGCAGCAGUAGGGAAUCUUCCGCAAUGGACGAAAGCCUGACGGAGCAACGCCGCGUGAGUGAUGAAGGUUUUCGGAUCGUAAAACUCUGUUGUAAGGGAAGAACAAGUACCGGAGUAACUGCCGGUACCUUGACGGUACCUGACCAGAAAGCCACGGCUAACUACGUGCCAGCAGCCGCGGUAAUACGUAGGUGGCAAGCGUUGUCCGGAAUUAUUGGGCGUAAAGCGCGCGCAGGCGGUUCCUUAAGUCUGAUGUGAAAGCCCCCGGCUCAACCGGGGAGGGUCAUUGGAAACUGGGGAACUUGAGUGCAGAAGAGAAAAGUGGAAUUCCAAGUGUAGCGGUGAAAUGCGUAGAGAUGUGGAGGAACACCAGUGGCGAAGGCGACUUUUUGGUCUGUAACUGACGCUGAGGCGCGAAAGCGUGGGGAGCAAACAGGAUUAGAUACCCUGGUAGUCCACGCCGUAAACGAUGAGUGCUAAGUGUUAGAGGGUUUCCGCCCUUUAGUGCUGCAGCAAACGCAUUAAGCACUCCGCCUGGGGAGUACGGCCGCAAGGCUGAAACUCAAAGGAAUUGACGG